rnacentral:lncRNA from 1 species
UAUUUUUAUGCCUAAUAUUUCUAUGCAUUUAAAGAAUUUUAUAUCUUAUCACAUACUAUCUAUACUCAAAUAACUUUUUUUUUUUACAAUGUCAAUCUAAAACUCAAUCUUCCCCAUACAAUUUUGGUUUGGAAGCAAACAUUCAACCAUCUAAAAACUAUUCUUGAUUGAUUAAGGAAACACGAAUCUCACUUACCUUCCUUGAUUGAUUGAUUGAUUUUGA